rfam:Aspergillus terreus NIH2624 scaffold_3 genomic scaffold, whole genome shotgun sequence.
GGCAAGGUGGCCGAGUGGUUAUGGCGCUGGUUUUAGGUCAUCUAGACACCAGACACCAGUGGGUUUCCCACGCGGGUUCGAAUCCCGUCCUUGUCA